UAACAUUUUUGUGGUGGUCUCCCUUAAAAUUUCUCAAGUUAUUUACUGAGUAAUGAUCUACAUAUAAUAUUAAGUUAACCCUUCGCCGUUCACAUGCUGUAGAUAGGAUCAUAAUAGUUAACAAUGAUAUUGCUGUAUGAUAGCUACCAAAUAAGAAUGUUCAUAGGGGAACCAUCAGAAUUAUUAAGCCAUCAGAAUUGUUUACUUGGGGAAACCAUCAGAAUUGCAAUUUUGGGGAAACCAUAGAUAUUGCUGUCUUUUAAAUUGCAAUUUUGGGGAAACCAUCAGAAUGUUCAUAGGGAAACCAUCAAUUAAUCAAUCAAGCAAUGAAUUUAUUAAGCCAUGCCUAGCUUCAAUGCAUAUAGGGGAUCAAUAGGCUUCUCUGCCAUCUAAGCUAUAUUGGAAUAUCUUCUCUGCCAGCUAAGGAUCAAGAUUCUAUGCCACCAGAAAUGUUGUUAUUUUAUACAGCAAAGAUUUGGAGACCAACUCAUGGACCCAAAUCAUGCCUCAAUAUUGAAGUCAUCUGCAGCUCCUGGCCAGCCUUCAGGCAAGUUUUGCACGGUGCUGUUAGUGCGAUGUCUCCACAAGUUCAAGGUGGUAGUCAGCAAUUACCAGGGUCUACUCCGGAUCAAAUCAAGGCAGCAACAAUUUGACUUUGAAGGGGUGGCUACUCAUACCGUGACAGGAGAGGUUCGUUCCUACAAUCUUUGUAAGAGAUGAGUUUGGAUAAUGAAAUUGGAGUGUUGGACCAAGAGACAAAGAUGUUGGAGCAAGUUCCCGGGAUGAAACAUCACUUAUUAGAUGGUUUAAAUACAUUAUUAGACAUUAACAUAGUUUAGGGAAAUGGAUGGUAGAUUUGAUUGAUUAGUGUUUAUUGUAAUGCUUGUAUUUUGGUAAGUUUAGUAAGACAAGGUUUUGUA